CCUACGGGAGGCUGCAGUGGGGGAUAUUGCACAAUGGGGGGAACCCUGAUGCAGCGACGCCGCGUGGGUGAAGAAGCGCCUCGGCGCGUAAAGCCCUGUCAGCAGGGAAGAAAAUGACGGUACCUGAAGAAGAAGCCCCGGCUAACUACGUGCCAGCAGCCGCGGUAAUACGUAGGGGGCAAGCGUUAUCCGGAUUUACUGGGUGUAAAGGGGGCGCAGACGGUGAUGCAAGCCAGGAGUGAAAGCCCGGGGCCCAACCCCGGGACUGCUCUUGGAACUGGGUGGCUGGAGUGCAGGAGGGGCAGGCGGAAUUCCUGGUGUAGCGGUGAAAUGCGUAGAUAUCAGGAGGAACACCGAUCGCGAAGGCAAGUGUCCGGGGUGCAACUGACGCUGAGGCUCGAAAGUGCGGGUAUCAAACAGGAUUAGAUACCCGAGUAGUC
rnacentral:rRNA from 1 species